UAGACUUGACAGCAGGUAACGUUAGCAUACCGUUAGCAAGUAGCUGGAUUAAACACAUGGAAAGUUAAAAAGAGAGUUAAAC